CAAGUGAGGAAGGCCACAAAAGCUAAAGUUUUCUUAGGGUGUGUUUGAGCAGGGCAGGAAAAGGCAAGGAGGAGGCCUGUAGGAGGAAGACAGGAGCCAAAAAUGUAGGUGUCUGCAGAUUUGGGACAGGGGGUGGGGAAUAGUCACUCCAGGAGGAAGGAAAAGACAAAAAGAGCACCAGGACAUUUCCCAAAGCAGUAGUGUUUGCAACUCUGCCUAACUGCUGACUCGGAGCUAGGGGAUGAAAUGGAAAGCAGACUCUUGUCUCUAAAAGCAGCUUGGAAAACUGGUUCUCUAAACUUUGUAAAAGGCACUACCCUGUGAUUUCCUGGUUAGAAUACUUGGCUUUUGCCUUCUCCCAUCUGGAUGCACCAGGAGAGGGAAUGGGACUGGGGAAAUCAAAGGUUCUACUUUGGGAUGAGAAAGGGAGUGGCCUCUGGCCUCCGGCCCCCACUUCUUCCAGGCAAGGCUAAGUCAGGCCAGCUUUGCCUCUAGGAACAAUACGAGAGCCCAGAAGGUGCCCAGCAAGCCUCGGGCCGGCUGCAGGAGAAGCGGACAUGGGGCUGAGCUGGAGGUGGAGGAGUGUUCCAGAGACAACAGCAGACCCCUCCCCUCCUCAAGCCUCCUCAACCCUUUGUGGUCCCUCUGGCUACAGAAGGCAGUGGGGCAUAAUGGGGUGGGAGUGAAAAGAAGGACCGAGAAGCAAGAAAACGAACCUGGAGAAAAUCUCAGAGGAUAUGCACCCCCAAAUGCGGUAGGAGAUGGAGUGGGGGCUUCUUAAUUCUGGAGUACAGAGCCCAUUUGGAAUGCUUGGGAGGCAAUUAGAUCCCAGUUUGGUUUCUUUCUUGCCUUUUUUCUUCCUCUUUCGGAGGUCUCUGGCAAGCAAGCAAGCUGCCCCCUGAUUAGGGCUGGAAGGCUGGAAGAUGGAGGGUAUGACAGGCACCCCUGAGGGGCCCAGGUUUGACUGAGGUAUUGCGGCUGGCCAGGGGCUUUUCAAACUUCAGGGAACAAAGGCUGGUAGUGAGGAGUUUGGGCAGGGAACUUGGGGUGGGAGACACCAGAGCAGUCUGAGGGAAGACUUUGGGGUCUGGGAAAAGAGAAGCGGGAGAAGGGCUUAUCAUCACUGACAGUGAAGUCGUGAUUUAGGAGCGAACUGGAGAUACAGAAGAAGGAACAAUUUCUUCUUGGAUUCGGGAGGGAAACCUGGGAAACUGUGUGUGUGUACCCACAUGUGUGGGGGGUGUAUGUGUGUGUGUAAGAGAGAGAGAAAGGAGGAGAAAGAA